rnacentral:rRNA from 1 species
UACAGGGGGUGCAAACGUUGCUCGGAAUUAUUGGGCGUAAAGCGCACGUAGGCGGUUCGUUAUGUCAGAUGUGAAAGCCCUUGGCUCAACUGAGGAAGUGCAUCUGAAACUGGCGAGCUAGAGUAUGUAAGAGGGUCGCGGAAUUCCCGGUGUAGAGGUGAAAUUCGUAGAUAUCGGGAGGAACACCAGUGGCGAAGGCGAGUCUCUGGACGACAUCUGACACUGAGGCACGAAAGCUAGGGGAGCAAACAGG